rnacentral:rRNA from 1 species
GAUCAUGGCUCAGGAUGAACGCUGGCGGCGUGCUUAACACAUGCAAGUCGAACGAUGAUGCCCACUUGUGGGUGGAUUAGUGGCGAACGGGUGAGUAACACGUGAGUAACCUGCCCUUGACUCUGGGAUAAGCCUGGGAAACUGGGUCUAAUACCGGAUAUGACUGACUAUCGCAUGGUGGUUGGUGGAAAGCUUUUGUGGUUUUGGAUGGACUCGCGGCCUAUCAGCUUGUUGGUGGGGUAAUGGCCUACCAAGGCGACGACGGGUAGCCGGCCUGAGAGGGUGACCGGCCACACUGGGACUGAGACACGGCCCAGACUCCUACGGGAGGCAGCAGUGGGGAAUAUUGCACAAUGGGCGCAAGCCUGAUGCAGCGACGCCGCGUGAGGGAUGACGGCCUUCGGGUUGUAAACCUCUUUCAGUAGGGAAGAAGCGAAAGUGACGGUACCUGCAGAAGAAGCGCCGCAAG